AGCAGCCGCGGUAAUUCCAGCUCCAAUAGCGUAUAUUAAAGUUGUUGCAGUUAAAAAGCUCGUAGUUGAAUUUCGGGAUCAGUACGCUGGUCGUGCCUCCGGUAUGUACUGGUGUCACUGAUUCCUCCCUUCUGACGAACCAUCAUGCCAUUCACUUGGUGUGGUGGGAAAUUAGGACUGUUACUUUGAAAAAUUAGAGUGUUUAAAGCAGGCUCACGCUUGAAUACAUUAGCAUGGAAUAAUGAAAUAGGACGUUGAUCUUAUUUUGUUGGUUUUUAGGAUUGACGUAAUGAUUAAUAGGGAUAGUUGGGGGCAUUAGUAUUCAAUUGUCAGAGGUGAAAUUCUUGGAUUUAUUGAAGACUAACUACUGCGAAAGCAUUUGUCAAGGAUGUUUUCAUUAAUCAAGAACGAAAGUUAGGGGAUCGAAGACGAUCAGAUACCGUCGUAGUC
rnacentral:rRNA from 1 species